rnacentral:rRNA from 1 species
AGAGACAGCAGCCGCCGCGGGAAUACGUAGGUCCCGAGCGUUGUCCGGAUUUAUUGGGCGUAAAGGGAGCGCAGGCGGUUUAGUAAGUCUGAAGUUAAAGGCAUUGGCUCAACCAAUGUAUGCUUUGGAAACUGUCAGACUUGAGUGCAGGAGAGAAAAGUGGAAUUCCUAGUGUAGCGGUGAAAUGCGUAGAGAUUAGGAGGAACAUCAGUGGCGAAGGCGGCUUUUUGGCCUGUAACUGACACUGAGGCGCGAAAGCGUGGGGAGCAAGCAGGAUUAGAUACCCCCGUAGUCCCUGUCUCUUAUACC